GUAUUACUUAGGGUUCAUAAGUGGGCCCGUUUUUAUUUUUUUGGUUUUAAAAUUAAUAAAAUAACUCAUACUCAGUAAUACGGUAUGAUUAGAGUGAUCUUGCUGAACCGGUAUGAGUGGAGUAUCACUGGACAGAUGUUAGCAUAUGAGAGGUUGUUGUGGGGAAGAAAAAAUUUCAUCGGGCUUUCUCUUUCUCGACCAUUUUUCUUCUCAUCUGUUUUUUCACCGACGAACUGGUGCAGGUUUGGGAUAAUCUGGUUCUUCGUUUGUGUCGUUUGAUUCUUCUUCCUUUAGCGGUUCCCUCUCUACAUCUCGCGUUAGCAAGCUCUUUGAUAAGACUGUCGAGGAAUGUGACCAGAAUCACCAGCACAGGCUUGAAAACAAUGAGAAUCUUUACAAAGCCUUUCAGCAUUUUGACAAAGACAGCAGCAGUGCCAUUUGCUAUGCAAAGAGUUCAUCGUAGAGACAUGGCAGAUAUAUAAUUUUCAGAGAACAUGUGAUCUGGCAACUUCUCUCUUGGAAAGAUCUUCACAAACUGGUGUGGGAAGGAUCGAUCCUGCAAACUGCUCUAAAAGGGUAUGAGAUCGAGCUUUCUUGGUCAGGUGAUGUUCUUCUUCGCAAUGGAGUCCCACUCAUCUAUCCAGACAUGUAAGCCAACGAAUGGGUUGCUGUUCAUGGAGUUAACCAAAUGAUCGCAACACAAGCAAUACAGCCUAAACUGGGAGAAUCUGUCUCAUUGCUGCAAGAAAUAAGGACAAGGAGAAGAAGUGUACUCUCACUGUUCGAUGCUUUUCUCUACCUAAAGUCACCACCAUAUAUGCCUUUUGCACCAUUGUUGUAAAACCUCUGUUUUUUUUGAGGUUUUUCUUUUCAGUGGAUGUGCCAGGCGUUUGUGGUGAUGCUGUUGACGUGCUUGCUAAUUAGAAUGAACUUUAGAUUCUAUGUUGAGGUUAAGAACGUGUAUGACUUGGUAUGUUAUGUAUCACUUGCACUUAAAAAUGAGAAUCAGUUACAGA